rnacentral:rRNA from 1 species
UACGUAGGGGGCAAGCGUUGUCCGGAUUUAUUGGGCGUAAAGAGCGUGUAGGCGGCCAAGCAGGUCCGCUGUGAAAACUCGAGGCUCAACCUCGAGACGUCGGUGGAAACCGUUUGGCUAGAGUGCGGUAGGGGAGAUUGGAAUUCCUGGUGUAGCGGUGGAAUGCGCAGAUAUCAGGAGGAACACCGAUGGCGAAGGCAGAUCUCUGGGCCGUAACUGACGCUGAGGAGCGAAAGCAUGGGGAGCGAACAGG